CCGCCGCCGCACAAAAGCUAUCGACAUUCCCGAUUGGACAAAAAUUCAGCCGGGUUCCGUGACUCAGAACUGGAAGCACUUUACGAGAGACGGGGGCCACGGCGUCACGUUUCGCGAAUACGGAGCAAUAAAUUACGCGGUAUCGGUAAUCGGCGUAGAGCGCGCGCGUGCAAACUUUGUACGCGCGCUGCGCAGCUCGAUCGCCUUUAUUUCCCAUGUCCACGUGUACAACAUCGCGCCAGCACGCGGUUGCUCACAACUUUGUUACGAUCACUCUGUUUGGCUCGGUGGUCCAAGCCAACCCGCAUAAACGAUGCAUAUAACGACGCAACUCGAUCUCGAAAUCGAGAGUCAAUCCGGUUUCAGAUGUAAGAAACAAAACAGAGAAAAUGUUUUCUAAAACACAUAACAAGUGAUUAAAAAUUGCGGAUGUCAAGUUUACAAACACAUGAACUGGUCCAGGGAACAAUGGAUCGGUUUGGAGGCGGGAGGAGAAAAGCAAGCAGCGAACAGCGCAUAUUCUCUUUUCAAUCCAGAGAGAGAGAGAGAGAGAGAGAGAGAGAGAGAGAGAGAGAGAGAAAGAGUCACGGUCUCCGUGGCACUAGAGAAAACCUAACAUCAUCGCGCAGCGUAGUGUUCGGAAAGGCCUAUCAAUGAGGGGCGUUUUACAAUGUAACGGCGCGCGAUAUGCAGCCGCAGACAAUUACCUGGGCCAGGCCUUCGUUAACUACCUGGCGACGUUGGUCGGUUGCUGCGCUGUUCUGACGGAACCGUAAGUUAUAUCGGCGUUGCAACGUGGUAGGCUAAUGAGUCUACCUGCCGUAAUUUUAAUUAGAUCGACACCCGCUGCGAUUGCGAUUCGCGCACGUCGCGUGCUUGUCACUGCGAAAGAAAGGUGAAAUCCAGAUCUCGAAAUAAUUGCAUAGAUGUUUACUUUGAUUAAUGCUACAUGCAACUUAUUAACCUAUUUGGUAACACAAAUCUUGAAUCUAAUGAGUUGCUCUUGUCAUUUGCAGAAAAGAUUUACGAGCUGAAUUGUGUAUUAAAUUAAUAUUGACAUGUUUAUUUUAAAUAUCUGAAUUGUAAUUAUUGAAGUUUUUGUGACUCAAAUGACAUACAUUUUACAAAGCUGUUUGAUUGUGUGAGAAAGAUGCAGGUUUUUGCGCGAAAAGAACGUAUAUGUAAGUCGCGAAGUAAAUCAGCAACUCAAUUAACGAGUUCGAAGCGGCAAAUUUGAUGCCCGAUAUGAUCUCAAUUUCAUCGAGAUGCAUUUUUUGUUUCUACCAUCGCGCCGGUGGUUUUAAUCGCCGUGUUUUCCAAUAUAGAAUAUUUUUCACGGACGUAAUAAUCUUUAUAACACGCGCGCAAAGAGCAAUAACUUGCAUAGUCUAGUUUCUCGUAGUAAAAUGUAAAAACCGAAAAAUGAAAUCGAUUUCGUAUGGCGGUCGCAACUGAGCGAAAUCACAACUAAUCGAUCUCGAGCGAGAUUGAUUUCACCUAUAACACCGCGGUACGGUAAUUAUUCAGAGAUAAUAAGGCUCAUAAUACGGUUCUGCACAUUGGACAGUAAUUAAAUGUCUGCUCGACUGUGUUUUGCACAGCGUAUUGCGUAUUCUGAUCUAGAAAUCAAGAUCUUGCAAACGCUCGGAAUCUUAUCACAUAUAUAAAUAAGUAUCCGUGCGGACAGAAACAAUAAUUACACAUGAUAAGCAUCUAUUUUUAUUAUCUUGUUUAUACGUUCUUCUUAUGCAAUAUGAAAUUUGCAUUUAUACACGAAAUUAAAUUGCUUUAAUGAGUUUAGUUCUUUGUAAAGAAACGGAAACAAAUGCAAAUUUUGAUUAUAAAUUUGACGAUAAAAAUAUGUUUAAUUAUGUAAUAACAAAUAGAUAAUAUUA